rnacentral:rRNA from 1 species
UACAGAGGGUGCGAGCGUUAAUCGGAAUUACUGGGCGUAAAGCGUGCGUAGGCGGCUGCGCAAGUCGGUUGUGAAACCCCGGGGCUCAACCCCGGAACUGCAUCCGAUACUGCGUGGCUAGAGGUAGGUAGGGGAGAUCGGAAUUCCUGGUGUAGCGGUGAAAUGCGCAGAUAUCAGGAGGAACACCGGUGGCGAAGGCGGAUCUCUGGGCCUUACCUGACGCUGAGGCGCGAAAGCUAGGGGAGCAAACAGG